CCUACGGGAGGCAGCAGUGAGGAAUAUUGGUCAAUGGACGCAAGUCUGAACCAGCCAUGCCGCGUGCAGGAAGACGGCUCUAUGAGUUGUAAACUGCUUUUGUACGAGGGUAAACGCAGAUACGCGUCUCUGUUUGACAGUAUCUUACGAAUAAGGAUCGGCUAAAUCCGUGCCAGCAGCCGCGGUAAUACGGAGGAUUCAAGCGUUAUCCGGAUUUAUUGGGUUUAAAGGGUGCGUAGGCGGGCGGAUAAGUUAGCGGUGAAAUUCCGAGGCUAAACUGCGGAAUUGCCUGUGAUCCUGUUCGUCUAGAGAGUAGUUGCGGUAGGCGGAAUGUGUGGUGUAGCGGUGAAAUGCUUAGAGAUCAUACAGAACACCGAUUGCGAAGGCAGCUUACCAAGCUACUUCUGACGUUGAGGCACGAAAGCGUGGGGAGCAAACAGGAUUAGAUACCCGGGUAGUC
rnacentral:rRNA from 1 species